AUGCAAGUCGAACGAUGAAGCCCUUCGGGGUGGAUUAGUGGCGAACGGGUGAGUAACACGUGGGCAAUCUGCCCUUCACUCUGGGACAAGCCCUGGAAACGGGGUCUAAUACCGGAUAACACUUUCCUCUGCAUGGGGGAAGGUUGAAAGCUCCGGCGGUGAAGGAUGAGCCCGCGGCCUAUCAGCUUGUUGGUGGGGUGAUGGCCCACCAAGGCGACGACGGGUAGCCGGCCUGAGAGGGCGACCGGCCACACUGGGACUGAGACACGGCCCAGACUCCUACGGGAGGCAGCAGUGGGGAAUAUUGCACAAUGGGCGAAAGCCUGAUGCAGCGACGCCGCGUGAGGGAUGACGGCCUUCGGGUUGUAAACCUCUUUCAGCAGGGAAGAAGCGAAAGUGACGGUACCUGCAGAAGAAGCGCCGGCUAACUACGUGCCAGCAGCCGCGGUAAUACGUAGGGCGCAAGCGUUGUCCGGAAUUAUUGGGCGUAAAGAGCUCGUAGGCGGCUUGUCACGUCGGAUGUGAAAGCCCGGGGCUUAACCCCGGGUCUGCAUUCGAUACGGGCAGGCUAGAGUGUGGUAGGGGAGAUCGGAAUUCCUGGUGUAGCGGUGAAAUGCGCAGAUAUCAGGAGGAACACCGGUGGCGAAGGCGGAUCUCUGGGCCAUUACUGACGCUGAGGAGCGAAAGCGUGGGGAGCGAACAGGAUUAGAUACCCUGGUAGUCCACGCCGUAAACGUUGGGAACUAGGUGUUGGCGACAUUCCACGUCGUCGGUGCCGCAGCUAACGCAUUAAGUUCCCCGCCUGGGGAGUACGGCCGCAAGGCUAAACUCAAAGGAAUUGACGGGGGCCCGCACAAGCAGCGGAGCAUGUUGGCUUAAUUCGACGCAACGCGAAGAACCUUACCAAGGCUUGACAUACACCGGAAAACCCUGGAGACAGGGUCCCCCUUGUGGUCGGUGUACAGGUGGUGCAUGGCUGUCGUCAGCCUCGUGUCGUGAGAUUUUGGGUUAAGUCCCGCAACGAGCGCAACCCUUGUCCUGUGUUUGC
rnacentral:rRNA from 1 species